rnacentral:misc_RNA from 1 species
UUGUUUUGUUUAUAAGACUCAGACGCAAGUUCAAAGUGUUAUGGUCUCUCACGGCCGGAGCCGUGAAAGCAACGGGACGGUACACAGGGUUGGAAGUUGCCUUGCGGCGUCUUCUUUAAUGAUCCUUCCGCAGGUUCACCUACGGAAA